GUCUCAAAGAUUAAGCCAUGCAUGUCUAAGUACAAGCCUGAAUAAGGUGAAACCGCGAAUGGCUCAUUAAAUCACACCUAAUGUACCGGACAGUUCCACUUACUUGGAUAACUGCGGUAAUUCUGGAGCUAAUACAUGCUUAAAAGCCCUGACUCACGAAAGGGCGCAUUUAUUAGAUCAAAACCAAACCGCUUGCGGUUUUAUUGGUGAAUCUGAAUAACUCUAUGCUAAUCGUAUGUGCUCCACGCCGACGAUGUGUCCGUCCAAGGUGUGCCCUAUCAACUGUCGACUGUGGCAUAGACGCCCACAGUGGUUUUGACGGGUAACGGGGAAUUAGGGUUCGAUUCCGGAGAGGGAGCCUGAGAAACGGCUACCACUUCUAAGGAAGGCAGCAGGCACGCAAAUUACCCAAUGGUCGAAGACCGAGGUAGUGACGAAAAAUAACGAUACCGGUCUCUUCCGAGGCCCGGUAAUCGGAAUGAGUACACUUUAAAUCCUUUAACGAGGAACAAUUGGAGGGCAAGUCUGGUG
rnacentral:rRNA from 1 species